rnacentral:rRNA from 1 species
CGGCGGACGGGUGAGUAACGCGUGGGUAACCUGCCUCAUACAGGGGGAUAACAGUUAGAAAUGACUGCUAAUACCGCAUAAGCGCGCGGUACCGCAUGGUACAGUGUGAAAAACUCCGGUGGUGUGAGAUGGAUCCGCGUCUGAUUAGGUAGUUGGUGAGGUAACGGCCCACCAAGCCGACGAUCAGUAGCCGACCUGAGAGGGUGACCGGCCACAUUGGGACUGAGACACGGCCCAA